rnacentral:lncRNA from 1 species
AAGCACCUGUAAGAAAUGUGACUGCAGUGGAAAUUCAGAUCCCAACCUGAUCUUUGAAGAUUGUGAUGAAGUCACUGGCCAGUGUAGGAAUUGCUUACGCAACACCACCGGAUUCAAGUGUGAACGUUGCGCUCCUGGCUACUAUGGGGACGCCAGGAUAGCCAAGAACUGUGCAGUGUGCAACUGCGGGGGAGGCCCAUGUGACAGUGUAACCGGAGAAUGCUUGGAAGAAGGUUUUGAACCCCCUACAGGCUGUGAUAAGUGCGUCUGGGACCUGACUGAUGACCUGCGGUUAGCAGCGCUCUCCAUCGAGGAAGGCAAAUCCGGGGUGCUGAGCGUAUCCUCUGGGGCCGCCGCUCAUAGGCACGUGAAUGAAAUCAACGCCACCAUCUACCUCCUCAAAACAAAAUUGUCAGAAAGAGAAAACCAAUACGCCCUAAGAAAGAUACAAAUCAACAAUGCUGAGAACACGAUGAAAAGCCUUCUGUCUGACGUAGAGGAAUUAGUUGAAAAGCACUGGAACAAGCCAAGAAGAAGACUGGAAUUGCAGGAAGGAGUAUAAUGACUCAGAAGACAGUGUCCAUUCAGAGAGCCCACAGUUUAUGAAGGGACUGAUGACCACAUUGCCGCUGCACAGUGGGCUCUGUGACUACAGGAGCCUUGCUCUGUAGGGAGGGGAUUACCCUUCUCCAAUAAAAAGCCUCUGGGCAUGUGUUUGUUAUAAUACCA